rnacentral:rRNA from 1 species
GACAGAGGUGCCGAGCGUUAGGCGGAAUCACUGGGCUUAAAGCGUGUGUAGGCGGACUGACAAGUACUUCGUGAAAUCCCACGGCUCAACCGUGGAACUGCUUGGUAUACUGUCAGUCUUGAGGCAUCUAGGGGCAACUGGAACAAACGGUGGAGCGGUGAAAUGCGUAGAUAUCGUUUGGAACGCCAAAGGUGAAAACAGGUUGCUGGGGAUGUACUGACGCUGAGACACGAAAGCUAGGGUAGCGAACGGG